ensembl:lncRNA
GAGGUCUCUUCCAAUGGGAAGCCAAAGAGAGGGGCUUAAAAAAGAAAGUAAAUCACGAGAGGAAGAAGAAGAGAACGGGGCGUCGAAACAAAACCGUGUGCGUCAUCUCUUCGGACUUCAAUCUUAGAAACAGCAGGACAUUUAUUCAUCUUUGUGCUAUCUGUCAUUAGUGGUUGUUCCGUUUGCUACGACGAUAUCUGAUAUUUUUGAGCAGAUUGCAGAGAGAAUCGUUUGUCCAGCUCAAGUUCAGAGAGGAGUGACUCGUUUGGACUGGUCACCACUGACCACGGCCUGCAGAGGACUGGAUUCAUGAGCAAGAGACUCUUCAGGACCUGGGACUACUGUCGAGAUUUACACACGAACACACGAGGAUUUAAUAUCGAAAGUGGUUUUCUCCGUUAUCUCAUACAUGACGUAAGCGUGCUCCGGCCCGAGAAGUUUGUGCAAGUGUGAGUGCAGGCCAGCGGGGGAGUUGGGGAGGAGGGAGUGGGGAGGGGAGAUAAUCGUUCCCAGGCUCGGUUCAGACAACCGUGCCUAGUGUGAGCACAUCCUAAGAGAGAAAAACACAGUCACUGCUGUGGACUGACUGUUGAGACAGAGGUGGAUUUGAGAAAAUUAACUGAGAUGAUUCAUAACUGACUCUGUGAUCAACAUCUGGAUCUGCUUUUAGAUGAAACCAUGGCCUCCAGAAUGAAUCUCUCUGAAGAACAUCACACACAGAUAAAGACAGUCAAGAGUCUGUGGCAGAAUGAAUCUCCUGAACCCAGCUGUGUGUCCAUGAAGAGUGACCGGUCAAUGGAUCCUCCAAUUAAGUUCAGCUCGGGAGACACAUCUGCUCAUCUGAGUCAAAAACAUAAAGGACUGCAAUCACAUACAGCAAAGAAGAACUUAGACUCCAUUUUUAAGGUUGGUUUUGUGUGUGUGUGUGUGUGUGUGUGUGUGUGUGUGUGUGUGUGUGUGUGUGUGUGUGUGUGUGUGU